rnacentral:rRNA from 1 species
UGCCAGCCGCCGCGGUAAUACGGAGGGUGCAAGCGUUGCUCGGAUUUACUGGGCGUAAAGAGCACGUAGGCGGCUCGGUAAGUCUGAUGUGAAAGCCCACGACUCAAUCGUGGAAGUGCAUUGGAUACUGCCAAGCUAGAAUGCAGGAGGGGUGAGCGGAAUUCCAGGUGUAGAGGUGAAAUUCGUAGAUAUCUGGAGGAACAACGGUGGCGAAGGCGGCUCACUGGACUGAUAUUGACGCUGAGGUGCGAAAGUGUGGGGAGCGAACGGGAUUAGAUA